rnacentral:rRNA from 1 species
UACAGAGGGUGCAAGCGUUAAUCGGAGUUACUGGGCGUAAAGGGCGCGUAGGUGGUUGUUUUAAGUGAGAUGUGAAAGCCCUAGGGCUUAACCUAGGAACUGCAUCUUAUACUGGGCAACUGGAGUACUGUAGAGGGUAGUGGAAUUUCCGGUGUAGCGGUGAAAUGCGUAGAGAUCGGAAGGAACACCAGUGGCGAAGGCGGCUACCUGGACAGAUACUGACACUGAGGCGCGAGAGCGUGGGGGAGCAAACAGG